CUGAAUUAUCUUUAGCAAUUAUCUCUCAAUGAUCUGAAGCCUUCAAUUUGGGUUCUUCAUCUAUCCUAGUACUUUCAUAUAGAAUCGAUUCAUCCUUCACUAGAAUGGAAUCAAAUUUCUCUUCCACAGGAUAUGCUGGAAUGUACCGUGGUUGAACACAUUGGCUUUCAAUCCUAAACACAAGUUUUUCAACCCGUUCCGCUAUCAAAGUUGAAGAUGUUGCACACUGCUCCAAAAGUAGCCUUAGUGUAGCGGUUGCUUUCUCUGCAGCUG
rnacentral:lncRNA from 1 species